UACGUAGGGGGCGAGCGUUGUCCGGAUUUAUUGGGCGUAAAGAGCUCGUAGGCGGUUUGGUAAGUCGGAUGUGAAAUCUCCAGGCUCAACCUGGAGGGGUCAUUCGAGACUGCUAUGACUAGAGUUCGGUAGAGGAGUGUGGAAUUCCUGGUGGAGCGGUGAAAUGCGUAGAUAUCUGGAGGAACACCGGUGGCGAAGGCGGCAUCCUGGACCGGUAUUGACGCUGAGGCGCGAAAGCCAGGGGAGCAAACGGG
rnacentral:rRNA from 1 species